GUAACAAAGCGCUUUACAGAACAUUUAAAAUACUACAUCCAAGAAGUCAGAAUAUUGUUCCAUAUGUAAGGUGCACCAGAUUAUAAGGCGCCCUGUCGGAUUUUGAGAAAAUGGAAUGCUUUUAGGUGCGCCUUAUAGUACGGAAAUACGGUCUUUGUUUUUGUCU